CCCCUUCGGGGGACCGGUAGAGUGGCGAACGGGUGAGUAAUGCAUGGGUAACGUACCCUUGGCUCGGGGAUAGCGGCGGGAAACUGCCGGUAAUACCCGAUGAGACCACAGUGUCAUAUGGCACGGUGAUCAAAGGUGGGGACCCCUUCGGGGGCCUUCCGGCCAGGGACCGACCCAUGUCCCAUCAGCUUGUUGGUGAGGUAACGGCUCACCAAGGCUACGACGGGUAGCGGGACUGAGAGGUUGGCCCGCCACACUGGGACUGAGACACUGCCCAGACCCCUACGGGGGGCUGCAGUCGAGAAUCUUAGCCUAAUGCGCGCAAGCGUGAGCUAGCGACGCCGCGUGUGGGAAUAAGGCCUUCGGGUUGUAAACCACUGUCAGGGACUACCAAGCGAAGGAGGCUAACAGUCUCCGGAGUUGAGGAAUCCCAGAGGAAGCCACGGCUAACUUCGUGCCAGCAGCCGCGGUAAGACGAAGGUGGCGAGCGUUGUUCGGAAUCAUUGGGCUUAAAGAGCACGUAGGCGGAUGGCCAAGCGUCCUGUGAAAGCCCUCGGCUCAACCGAGGAAUGGUAGGGCGAACUGGUUAUCUUGAGGCAAGUAGGGGCGCGUGGAACUCUUGGUGGAGCGGUGGAAUGCGUAGAUAUCAAGAGGAACGCCGGUGGCGAAGGCGAUGCGCUGGGCUUGUCCUGACGCUGAGGUGCGAAAGCCAGGGGAGCGAACGGGAUUAGAUACCCCGGUAGUCCUGGCCCUAAACGAUGUCCACUAGGUCGAGGGUUCUCUGACGGGUUCCCGGCCGGAGCGAAAGUGUUAAGUGGACCGCCUGGGGAGUACGGUCGCAAGGCUAAAACUCAAAGGAAUUGACGGGGCCUCACACAAGCGGUGGAGCAUGUUGCUUAAUUCGAUCAACGCGAAGAACCUUAUCCUGGGCUUGACAUGGCCGGAUACCCAUCUGGAAACAGAGUAGGUUGCCCUUCGGGGUGAAACGGUCACAGGUGCUGCAUGGCUGUCGUCAGCUCGUGUCGUGAGAUGUUGGGUUAAGUCCCGUAACGAGCGAAACCCUUGUCGUUAGUUGCCAGCGCGUAAUGGCGGGGACUCUAGCGAGACUGCCGGUGUUAAACCGGAGGAAGGUGGGGAUGACGUCAAGUCCUCAUGGCCUUUAUGCCCAGGGCUGCAAACGUGCUACAAUGGCCGGCACAAACCGACGCAAGACCGCGAGGUGGAGCAAAUCGGAGAAAGCCGGCCCCAGUUCGGAUUGCAGUCUGCAACUCGACUGCAUGAAGUUGGAAUCGCUAGUAAUCGUAGAUCAGCUACGCUACGGUGAAUGUGUUCCUGAGGCUUGUACACACCGCCCGUCAAGUCAUGGAAGCUGGUAGCGCCCGAAGUCGUGCCGCUUCAGGCAUGCCGAAGGUGGGAUCGGUGACUGGGACUAAGUCGGAACAAGGUA
rnacentral:rRNA from 1 species